ACGCAGGAGGAUAGGAUGUGCGCACUAUUGGAUGUGCGUCUAAGCACUUAGGGUGUUAAGUAGGCAAAUCCGCUUAAUAUUAAGCCUGAGGUGUGAUGGGGAGCCUAUUUUGGCGAAGUAUCUGAUUCCACGCUGCCAAGAAAAGUCUCUAUGGAGCAAAAUGGUGCCCGUACCGCAAACCGACACAGGUAGAUGAGGAGAGAAUCCUAAGGUCGUCGGAAGAAUUAUUGCUAAGGAACUCGGCAAAUUGACCCCGUAACUUAGGGAGAAGGGGUGCCUACGAGAGUAGGCCGCAGUGAAUAGGCUCAAGCAACUGUUUAUCAAAAACACAGGUCUCUGCUAAAGCGCAAGCUGAUGUAUAGGGGCUGACGCCUGCCCGGUGCUGGAAGGUUAAGGGGAAUAGUUAGCGCAAGCGAAGCUAUGAACUUAAGCCCCAGUAAACGGCGGCCGUAACUAUAACGGUCCUAAGGUAGCGAAAUUCCUUGUCGGGUAAGUUCCGAC
rnacentral:rRNA from 1 species